GAUGAAGAACGCAGCGAAAUGCGAUACUUGGUGUGAAUUGCAGAAUCCCGUGAACCAUCGAGUCUUUGAACGCAAGUUGCGCCCGAGGCCAUUAGGCCGAGGGCACGCCUGCCUGGGCGUCACACGUCGUUGCCCCCCCAUCUACUCCUUCGGGAUUGCGGGGGGCGGAUGAUGGCCUCUCGUGCGCCUCGUCGCGCGGUUGGCCUAAAUGCCAAGUCCUCGGCGACGCACGCCACGACAAUCGGUGGUUGCGAAACCUCGGUUGCCUGUCGUGUGCGGUCGUCGCGCAUCGAGGGCUCGAAAAAAUUGCCGGGCUUCGGCUCGACUUUCAACGCGACCCCAGGUCAGGCGGGGUUACCCGCUGAAUUUAAGCAUAUCAAUAAGCGGAGGA
rnacentral:misc_RNA from 1 species